AGCAGCCGCGGUAAUUCCAGCUCCAAUAGCGUAUAUUAAAGUUGUUGCAGUUAAAAAGCUCGUAGUUGAAUUUCGGGGUUCUACCGUUGGUCGGGCUACCAAGUCUGUACUGGUGUGUAGAAUUCCUACCUUCUGGGGAACUAUCAUGUUAUUAAUUUAGCGUGGUGGGAAACCAGGACCUUUACCUUGAAAAAAUUAGUGUGUUCAAAGCAGGCUUAUGUCUGAAUACAUUAGCAUGGAAUAAUAGAAUAGGACGGUGGUCCUGUUUUGUUGGUUUCUGAAUCACCGUAAUGAUUAAUAGGGAUAGUUGGGGGCAUUAGUAUUCAAUUGUCAGAGGUGAAAUUCUUGGAUUUAUUGAAGACUAACUUCUGCGAAAGCAUUUGCCAAGGAUGUUUUCAUUAAUCAAGAACGAAAGUUAGGGGAUCGAAGACGAUCAGAUACCGUCGUAGUCUUAACCAUAAACUAUGCCGACUAGGGAUCGGACGAUGUUAAAUUUUAUUGACUCGUUCGGCGCCUUACG
rnacentral:rRNA from 1 species